rnacentral:rRNA from 1 species
AGUGAACGCUGGCGGUAGGCCUAACACAUGCAAGUCGAACGGCAGCACAGGAGAGCUUGCUCUCUGGGUGGCGAGUGGCGGACGGGUGAGGAAUACAUCGGAAUCUACUUUUUCGUGGGGGAUAACGUAGGGAAACUUACGCUAAUACCGCAUACGACCUACGGGUGAAAGCAGGGGACCUUCGGGCCUUGCGCGAUUGAAUGAGCCGAUGUCGGAUUAGCUAGUUGGCGGGGAAAAGGCCCACCAAGGCGACGAUCCGUAGCUGGUGUGAGAGGUUGGUCAGCCACACUGGAACUGAGACACGGUCCAGACUCCUACGGGAGGCAGCAGUGGGGAAUAUUGGACAAUGGGCGCAAGCCUGAUCCAGCCAUACCGCGUGGGUGAAGAAGGCCUUCGGGUUGUAAAGCCCUUUUGUUGGGAAAGAAAUCCAGCUGGCUAAUACCCGGUUGGGAUGACGGUACCCAAAGAAUAAGCACCGGCUAACUUCGUGCCAGCCGCCGCAGUAA